rnacentral:rRNA from 1 species
UACGUAGGGCGCGAGCGUUGUCCGGAAUUAUUGGGCGUAAAGAGCUCGUAGGCGGCUUGUCACGUCGGGUGUGAAAGACCGGGGCUUAACUCCGGUUCUGCAUUCGAUACGGGCUAGCUAGAGUGUGGUAGGGGGAGAUCGGAAUUCCUGGUGUAGCGGUGAAAUGCGCAGAUAUCAGGAGGAACACCGGUGGCGAAGGCGGAUCUCUGGGCCAUUACUGACGCUGAGGAGCGAAAGCGUGGGGAGCGAACAGG